ensembl:snRNA U6 U6 spliceosomal RNA
CGUGCUUGCUCAGGCAUAACAUGAUAAAUUGGAAUCGAUACAGAGAAGAUUAGCAAGGCCCCUGCGGAAGGAUGACACGCAAAUUCGUGAAGCGCUUCCACAUUUU